CGUUGAAACAUCUGUUCCCGUACGAUCACCGAAGUUAAGCAACGUGGUGCGUGCUUUGGUGUCAAGGUGGGUGACCACUUGUGAAUAUUAGGCGAUGUAAG